AGAAAGCAGGGGAUCUUCGGACCUUGCGCUAAUAGAUGAGCCUAAGUCGGAUUAGCUAGUUGGUGGGGUAAAGGCCUACCAAGGCGACGAUCUGUAGCGGGUCUGAGAGGAUGAUCCGCCACACUGGGACUGAGACACGGCCCAGACUCCUACGGGAGGCAGCAGUGGGGAAUAUUGGACAAUGGGCGCAAGCCUGAUCCAGCCAUGCCGCGUGUGUGAAGAAGGCCUUAUGGUUGUAAAGCACUUUAAGCGAGGAGGAGGCUACUUUAGAUAAUACCUAGAGAUAGUGGACGUUACUCGCAGAAUAAGCACCGGCUAACUCUGUGCCAGCAGCCGCGGUAAUACAGAGGGUGCAAGCGUUAAUCGGAUUUACUGGGCGUAAAGCGCGCGUAGGCGGCUAAUUAAGUCAAAUGUGAAAUCCCCGAGCUUAACUUGGGAAUUGCAUUCGAUACUGGUUAGCUAGAGUGUGGGAGAGGAUGGUAGAAUUCCAGGUGUAGCGGUGAAAUGCGUAGAGAUCUGGAGGAAUACCGAUGGCGAAGGCAGCCAUCUGGCCUAACACUGACGCUGAGGUGCGAAAGCAUGGGGAGCAAACAGGAUUAGAUACCCUGGUAGUCCAUGCCGUAAACGAUGUCUACUAGCCGUUGGGGCCUUUGAGGCUUUAGUGGCGCAGCU
rnacentral:rRNA from 1 species